AUUGAACGCUGGCGGCAGGCCUAACACAUGCAAGUCGAACGGUAACAGGAAACAGCUUGCUGUUUCGCUGACGAGUGGCGGACGGGUGAGUAAUGUCUGGGAAACUGCCUGAUGGAGGGGGAUAACUACUGGAAACGGUAGCUAAUACCGCAUAACGUCGCAAGACCAAAGAGGGGGACCUUCGGGCCUCUUGCCAUCGGAGGUGCCCAGAUGGCAUUAGCUAGUAGGUGGGGUAGCGGCUCACCUAGGCGACCACCCCUAGCUGGUAUGAGAGGAUGACUAGCCACACUGGAACUGAGACACGGUCCAGACUCCUACGGGAGGAAGCAGUGGGGAAUAUUGCACAAUGGGCGCAAGCCUGAUGCAGCCAUGCCGCGUGUAUGAAGAAGGCCUUCGGGUUGUAAAGUACUUUCAGCGGGGAGGAAGGGAGUAAAGUUAAUACCUUUACUCAUUGACGUUACCCGCAGAAGAAGCACCGGCUAACUCCGUG
rnacentral:rRNA from 1 species